GAACAGCUGAGCACGUGCGCCCAGGUCGUGCGGGACUCAAUCCCAGGCCUGCCAGCCCCAGAGCCCUUGCGCUUCCCUCCGAAUCCACGGCCCACACACGUGACACUGAGUGUGAACUCCCUGCGUGCCUUCCCGCCCUCACCAGACCCUCACAGCCUCCCCAGCGGCCCCUUUAUCACCUCCUUGCUGCGCACGGGGAGACGGAGGCCAAGGUCACCCACUCGGCAGGCCGGGGCUGUUCUCACCACACCGGCUUCUCUUGGACGCUUUCCUGGCUCCUGGGUCCAUAAAGGGAGAAGCAACUCCAACACAACACGCCAGCCCCAGCCCGCCAACCCCUCAGGUCCCACGGCCCAUCUUUCAGAUCCACAGGGAACAAGAGGACCAUAGAGAAAUGCAGAACGCCCGAGCCAGAGGCCCGCCCAGCACCCCCUUCAGUAGGAGACAGAGGCCCAGGUUGGGGCAGAGAAAGGAUUGUCGGUGGAAGCACAACCUCACCCGGCGUCUGCAGGAAGAUGGUCCCUGGGGGUGCCACUCAGCAACCACAGAAGAAACAGAUCGCUCUGGCAGCGAAAGCCCCUGUGGAGGGGGGUCGGGAACAGGAAGAAGCCAGCACACACGGCGGUCUCCAAGCCAGCGCGUUUGGGAAGAUGCUCUGCUUGGCACGGUGGCGAGGGUCAAGUGAUUCGCCCCAGGCCACGUCUAGCUUGGGCAGGUCACGUGACCCCCUGGAGCUCGGCUCCCACAUCUGUAAGAAGAGAGGGCUGGACAGGACACUCUCCCUGUCAGUCCCGACGUGCCUCAGGUCUAAUCAGAGCAGGGGCUCUGACCUGCCAAUCCCAUCUCCCUGCAUGACCGCAGUCAUCUGAAGUGAGGUCCAGGUGAGCUGCAGUGCCAGAGGUCAGAUGUGGGGAAACAAGAGCAGGCCUCCCCAGAAGGCCCCCAGGACCCCGCAGGGGCCGCCUCCGGCUUCGGAGACACCGGAUUCCCGGCUCUGACAUCCAGUCCUAGCAGGGGGCCUCACCCUGCUGCCCACUCCCUGUAGGAAGGGAGGCUUUGAGCACCGCCCUCCCUUGGUGCUGCCCAAGAGGGAGCACCAAGCGGGGGGCGUGGACCCCCGCUGCUCUCGGGGUUUAAGCCCAGGGUUUGAGGCUGGCCUGAGAUACGCUCUGGUUUAUCAUCUUGAUCCAGGGGCAGGACUCAAGAGCCGCUGCUGUGUUUCUCUCCUCCUUUGCCCUCCUCAGUCACGUCCUGCUCUCCCGCUCCAGCCUGGACCCCUCCAUCAUCUCGACGUCUCCGCUUGGAUGCCCCCACCCGAACCUGUCCCAACCCACGCUCGGACUGCCCCCACUCCCAGCCCUCUCCUGCCCAGGCAGGCACCUGCUCCCUCCAGCCUCCUGGCUGCUCAGGCUCCCCCAGACCUGACGUCCACUACGUCAGUACGCGGCUUCUGCUGAGCCUCGACAAGCCAGCCACGCCGCGCACCUCCGCCGCGGUCACCCUGGUGCAAGCUGCUGACAUCCUCCUCCUGACGGGACCUCCUGACUCCUGCUUCUACACCCAGCGCCCGCCCCUUCAUAAAAUCGUCACAGCACGUCCCUCUUUUGCCUAAAAGCCGCAUUAGCAUCACACUUCACUUGGAGGAAGGCCUGGGCCCUCACAAUGACCUGCGAGGCUCUCCGUGGUAUGUCCUCGUUCGCACUGGCCUGGUCUCGAAGGCUGCGGCCCGCCUGCCCUGUGCCUCGCACACACUCCCACCUCGGGGCCUUUGCACCUGCUGCUCUCUCUGCCCUGAGUGCCCUUCCCCGACACCCCAGACGCCCAUCCUUACCUCCCACAGGUCUCUGCUCAAAUGCCAUCUUGUCAGUGACACCUCUGUUUAAGCUGAACCCCCUUCCUGAAGCCCCCUGCCCCCUUCCCUGCAUGUAUUCCCCCUCCGGACCUAGUACUACAUAUUUUACUACUUUUUCCUUUCUUUUCUUCACCUCAAGAAAGUGUAAGAUCCUUGAGGGCGGGGCUGUUCAUCCGUUUUGUCCGUCACUGUAACGCUGGUGCGGCGACAACGGUGCCUGGCGUGCACAGCCUCUCGGUAAAUCUUUACUGAGUGAACGUAGCCCCCUUCCAGCAGGCACCCCGAGAACACCACAAAAGCAGGGCCAGAAGCCCCUUCCCAGAUCUGCCGGGUGCCUGAUCUUCUACUUGCUGUCACUCUUUCCCGCCCCCUCUAACUUUCUGGCUUCCUACCACUGGUCCCACACUUCAGACUCCCACCCGAACCUGUCCUGUGAGGCCCCCGGGCCUCCUCCACCACCAGACAGACGCGCGCUGACUGCACCGCGGAUGCUGAUCUGCUGGGAUGGGCACUGGCGCAGGUGGGGUUCUCAGUUCCGGCCCCCGGCCCUCAUGCUCAACCUACGUCUGCACACGCCCACCACGGGGGCUGGAGAGGCAGGUGUUGCUAUUGCCACUGCAGGUCCGAGCCCCCACCCCGGCGGGUCACUGUCCUGUGCUCCUCCCCUUGGUGGGAGACACAGAGUGGGGACUGAAAGCACAGCAGGUGUUUAAUAGACGGCGAAAUGGAAGGGCUUCCAAGCUCCGUGCCAACACAGCAGCUGGCGGCAGCACUGAGCCCACUGCCCACGUUAUGGCUUUUGGACUCAAAGAAAGGCCAGGGGAAGUCGUUGGGGGUCCCAGCUGAUGGUCACAUGCGCGGAGCCUCCCGACAGAGGGCGGGGGCAGGGGCUCCGCCCGGGUCUAGGGGCGACCGACCACCAAUUGAGUAUCCACGCUCUUGACCGCUAAGCUGCACUGACUCCAGGACCGGCCUGUGGCCUCAGGCAGAAGCAGGUCCUGCCCUCUGGGGCUGGGCCAUCCGCACCCCCUUCCUCAGACUGUGUCAGCCAAGUGCCCCAUCAGGCACAUGUGGCCAGCAUGGCGGGGUCAGCGAUCUCAUGGAGGAGCAGGCCCUCUGCUUCCCUCCGGGCAGGGUACGGCUGCUGGACCAGUGCGUCCAAGCAUGCUCUCUCUCCUGGACACAGCAUGCAAUCUGGGGAUGCCAGCAGGCGGAGGAUUCUCUGCGUGCGACCGUGAGAACACCCACGAAAGCCGGAAUUUAACGUGCACUGCCGUUACUUACGAUUUGUCUAUCAAUUUUUUUGGAAAACAUAAAUUGACUAAUUGUUUAUGAUAAAACUUUUAAUGAGUACAACUCUUGCUCUAAAUUACAUAAAGUUACACACCUAGAUCUGACAUAACUCUUAACCCAACACUGCCAGGCU